GACGAACGCUGGCGGCGUGCUUAACACAUGCAAGUCGAACGGAAAGGCCCUGCUUUUGUGGGGUGCUCGAGUAGCGAACGGGUGAGUAACACGUGAGUAACCUGCCCUUGACUUUGGGAUAACUUCAGGAAACUGGGGCUAAUACCGGAUAGGAGCUCCUGCUGCAUGGUGGGGGUUGGAAAGUUUCGGCGGUUGGGGAUGGACUCGCGGCUUAUCAGCUUGUUGGUGGGGUAGUGGCUUACCAAGGCUUUGACGGGUAGCCGGCCUGAGAGGGUGACCGGCCACAGUGGGGCUGGGGAACCGCCCCGACUCCUACGGGAGGCAGCAGUGGGGAAUAUUGCACAAUGGGCGGAAGCCUGAUGCAGCAACGCCGCGUGCGGGAUGACGGCCUUCGGGUUGUAAACCGCUUUCGCCUGUGACGAAGCGUGAGUGACGGUAAUGGGUAAAGAAGCACCGGCUAACUACGUG
rnacentral:rRNA from 1 species